CACGUAGGGCGCAAGCGUUGUCCGGAAUUAUUGGGCGUAAAGAGCUCGUAGGUGGUUUGUUACGUCUGCUGUGAAAACCUAGGGCUUAACCCUGGGCUUGCAGUGGAUACGGGCAGACUAGAGUGCGGUAGGGGUGACUGGAAUUCCUGGUGUAGCGGUGGAAUGCGCAGAGUAUCAGGAGGAACACCGGUGGCGAAGGCGGGUCUCUGGGCCGAUGAUUGACGCUGGAGGAGCGAAAGCAUGGGGAGCGAACAGG
rnacentral:rRNA from 1 species